rnacentral:lncRNA from 1 species
CCACCCCACGCCUCACCGCGAAGUAGCCCAGCCCCAGGACUGUGACCAGAGAGGGCAAGGGUCUUGCUGGACGGAAAUAGGCGGUAGCCGCAUUGCUGGCCUCCGACUUCACCAUCCUCUUGAAAAACCCAGACACAGAGUUGGCUGGGAGCUCCCCAGCCGUCCCCGCCCCCAUAUAAGAAAAGCCUGGCUAGCCGGUUUCUCAGGGCCCUGGGCGCCCGCCCAAGACCCUGGCGGACCAGUAUGCUUGCUCUCAUUGCGGAGUCUGGUCCCCUCCCCUCCGCUCCUAGCGCGCGGGAGUCGGGAUUGUGCUUGCACGACUUCCCCCGGCCCGCGGCCUGUGAGCCCAGGUCCUGGGGUGAACCGAGCGCUCGCUCGUUCGUCAGACCGUAGCGCUCCAGCGGCUGUCCUUACUGUGUAGUAGCCAAAGCUGAGGGUGAUGACUGUGAACCAGAACAGACUGCCUCGCUGAAAAGUCACUUGGAACUCUUCUGUGGCAUCUGAAGCAGAUGGACGAAGCCAAGAGGGCCGAGAGUAUCUCAGCACCUAGAAAUGGACAAGGCUGGUUAUUAGAACAAAGAUUUCGCAGGUGGUGAGUCUCAAAGGCGAAGCUGAAUGGAUCUCCCAUUAACCAGUCAUAAUGAAGUAAGAACAAGAAGAUGGGGAAGAGGAAGUGUAAAACCGUGGCUUAAAUUUGCCAAGGAUAAGCUGAGUGUACUUCAGCAGUCAUUUGCACAGAAUCCUUAUCCUAAUUUUACAACCAGGGAAAAACUGGCUGGACAGUCUCUUGUCCUGUGUUUGUAAUUGAUAACUGGUUUCAAAAUAAAAGCCAGACCACCACUUAGAGAGAGACACAGAAUGUUCACUGCCAGGGAACUGCAUGAUUCCUCUGCCAAAGGCCACCCAUUUACAAGAAUCCAGGAAAACCAGGUGGAAUCUCCCAAUGAUGACCCUGAGCAGAACUUCUUGUACCCAGGAAGUUCUACUGGGUGGAGCUGGCCACUCUUCCGUGGAGACACAGGGGACUCCCAAUUAACAUGAUGGCUCAAAUAACUGUAGCCUUAUGGAUUAAAAGGAAACUAAGCUGUGAUUUGGAGUAUCCAGGUGAUACAGAAAAUGGCCCUUGUCGAUGUAGAUCAGCAUUAUUUCCUUAUCCUUCUGCAUCUCCUCCUCAGUAUUCUGAAAGGGACAAGCCUGAGAUGGGGGAAAGCCAGCAUGCAAGGCCCUCCCCUUUGUGCUGUGUUCAUGGUGUGCACGGAGAGAGGCAGCAGCAGGAGGAACAGAAAGGUUAUUUUCUUUACUGACUCUUUCAAGGACAUCAGCAGAAUGGUUGGGAAUGUCAUCAUGAGCAGCCUCAGCCUCAGAAUUACCAGGAGAAGCUGGUCUUCCAGGAUCAGGUUCUAAUGUAUAUGAGUCACAGGAUUUAGGGAAGCAGGCACUUUCCCUUCAGUCCCAGCAGCAUGGUUGAUGUUCCCAAGUAAUGGAGAGUCCCUGUGCUCUCAGUUGUGGCACACACCUUUGCAAAUAGUGAUCAGAUCUCCACAAACGCCUCUUGGGUAAGAUAUGCAGCAACAUAGCUGGCUGCAGAGCAACCCAGUUCCCAAAUCCAGCAGCUCUUGGAUGAGAAGUCUGCAAGUGUUUACUGCUGGGACCAGGACUGUGUUUCUAGGAAAUGGUGCUAGGCUUCAGAGAGCAUCAUCCACAGGUCAUCCCACAACCAUCCACACAGAAGCCUGAGGAAAAGGGCUCUGCAGAGCUUGCACAUAAAGAUGCUGAACUCAGGAAGGCUCUGUGAGCUGCUGGUCUCUUCUGGUAGGGCAGCAGUGUCCUGAGAAGGUGGAGCUAGAGUAUGGAGAACAAAACUAACAAGCACCAAGGCAGCAAGCAAGGCAACCCCCAAAUGACAGCAGUUGCCAAAUCCAAAGCAAUCUGUGCUUCAGAAGACAGAGGCUCUGCACAGUCCCUGUCUCAGACAUUGUCUCCUCCUUAGAAGAUACCUAACAACAGCACUGUGGGAGGCUGAGGUGGGUGGAUCACCAGGUCAGGAGAUCAAGACCAUCCUUGAUCUUUAGUAGAGACGGUGAAACACUGUCUCUACUAAAAAAUACAAAAAAAAAUUAGCUAGCCGUGGCGGCGGGCACCUGUAGUCUCAACUAUUUGGGAGGCUGAGGCAGGAGAAUGGCCUGAACCCGGGAGGCAGAGCUUGCAGUGAGCUGAGAUUGCGCCACUGCACUCCAGCCUGGGCAACAGAGUGAGACUCCAUCUCAAAAAAAAAAAAAAAAAAAAAAAAAAAAGAUACCUAACAAGCAGUACAAGAAUAUGAAGGACCCCACUGCCCAGACUUUGUAUGGAGGGGUGUCUAAGGUGGCUACAGCAAAGCUGUCAUCUCCAUCGACCGGGACAGCAUCUCCAGCCAUGAUGUGUGGCCUGCUGGAACAGCAGCCAUGUGUCCUUUCACAGACAGCCCACCAAAGCUCUGACUGUGAAGGACAUCCCAACAUCAGCCUAGCCUGCAUACACUUAAGGCAUAGAAUCACCUGAGGCUUCUCCGUUGAAGACAGGGACUCCCGAUGGAGUUGCAGCCCCAGCUUUGCACUGUAAAGAGCCCCAGGGGGCUUCUGUGCUAGAGCAGGUGUGCAGACCCCUCCUCACCCCCUUCACUGAGAGCUGCUGCCUGGAACCAGUGUUUUGACUGAGUCACCUCUGGACGUGGGCCCACAAGAUCUGAGAGUGCCCAGACGAGAAGUUGAAUGCCUUGUGUUGACCUGAGUGUUUGGAAAAAAGCCCCAAACUUUGAAACAAUUUUCAUAAUUUUGAGCUUCAGGAUGUGGAAUCACUUCUCAAGUAUUCUGGAGUUCUGUCCAUCAGAGCGGGUCCUGCCAAUGCUGCCCUGUGCAGCGCUUCAGGCUGCAUCCCUCCCACUAGGGGGCGCCUUUCACAUAGUGGCGCCUGCCUUCUAGAGGAGCAACAUUUCCUGAACUGCAGGGUUCCCUCGGGGCUUUGUGUAAAACACAUCCACUGCAUAGAAUUUGUGUUAUUUCCAUUUUGUUUUCUUGACAAUAUUUAAUUAAUUACAAAAUGAUGUAUGUUAUGAUAGUUUAAGCAAUACAGAGAGUAACCAAACAAAAGCUUGGUCUUUUAUUCUCGCACUCUGAAUUUACAGUCCUGAAAACUCUAAACUCAUCAUAUAAUCUAUAUUGUAAAGACUUUGAUAAUCCCUUCCCUUGCCUUUCCUUUCCCCAUUCCCCCUUCCCCUUCCUUCUUCUACAUUGUAUGAUGUUUUUCAUAUUUACAUUCUAACCAAUUGUGUCAUGUGAUACUAAUUUGCAGAAUAAAGCAUGUUUUGCACAUAUUUCCAAGUCAUAUAACAUGCAGACAUACUUCAUUUUGUAAAUAUCUUCCUUCUCUUACUAUAAGAUUGAGAAUAGGUAAAGAGCAACUCUCCAAUGCAGGUGAUGAGUGUGAUUUGCACUAUCACUUUGGACAGCCAAUUGGAAUAUUUAUUGAAGUCAUAGAUGCCCAGCAAUUCUGUUACUGGAUGUGUCUCAUAGACAAACUCUUGGACAUUCUUAUAGAACACUGAGCCCAAAGAAGACACAUCAUAUAAUGUAAGAAGCUAGGACAGCUUAAAAAAAAAAGGCCUAGAUCUGUGUAAUUGUGUGAGUGUUCUCGGACAUACUGUUUGUAAAAAAUCGAGUUAUUGAGUAGUUUGAUAAUAUGAUAAUCAUGAAAAUAAAGGAUAAAGCAGCGAGU